UAAGUCCUGGAGAAACACGAGAAUGUGCUC
rnacentral:piRNA from 1 species